rnacentral:rRNA from 1 species
GACGAACGCUGGCGGCGUGCUUAACACAUGCAAGUCGAACGGAAAGGCCCUGCUUUUGUGGGGUGCUCGAGUGGCGAACGGGUGAGUAACACGUGAGUAACCUGCCCUUGACUUUGGGAUAACUUCAGGAAACUGGGGCUAAUACCGGAUAGGAGCUCCUGCUGCAUGGUGGGGGUUGGAAAGAUUCGGCGGUUGGGGAUGGACUCGCGGCUUAUCAGCUUGUUGGUGGGGUAGUGGCGUACAAAGGCUUUGACGGGUAGCCGGCCUGAGAGGGUGACCGGCCACAUUGGGACUGAGAUACGGCCCAGACUCCUACGGGAGGCAGCAGUGGGGAAUAUUGCACAAUGGGCGGAAGCCUGAUGCAGCAACGCCGCGUGCGGGAUGACGGCCUUCGGGUUGUAAACCGCUUUCGCCUGUGACGAAGCGUGAGUGACGGUAAUGGGUAAAGAAGCACCGGCUAACUACGUG